rnacentral:rRNA from 1 species
GUGAGGUGUGAAUUGAGUUAAAUGCUUAGUUCUAUAACAUUGAGCUGUGAUGGGGAGCGAAGUUUAGUAGCGAAGUUAGUGACGUCACACUGCCAAGAAAAGCUUCUAGCGUUUAAACAUACUCUACCCGUACCGCAAACCGACACAGGUAGGCGAGGAGAGAAUCCUAAGGUGAUCGAGAGAACUCUCGUUAAGGAACUCGGCAAAAUGACCCCGUAACUUCGGGAGAAGGGGUGCUCUGUUAGGGUGCAAGCCCGAGAGAGCCGCAGUGAAUAGGCCCAGGCGACUGUUUAGCAAAAACACAGGUCUCUGCGAAGCCGUAAGGCGAAGUAUAGGGGCUGACGCCUGCCCGGUGCUGGAAGGUUAAGAGGAGCGCUUAGCGUAAGCGAAGGUGCGAAUUGAAGCCCCAGUAAACGGCGGCCGUAACUAUAACGGUCCUAAGGUAGCGAAAUUCCUUGUCGGGUAAGUUCCGACCUGCACGAAUGGCGUAAUGAUGGCCAGGCUGUCUCCACCCGAGACUCAGUGAAAUUGAACUCGCUGUGAAGAUGCAGUGUACCCGCGGCAAGACGGAAAGACCCCGUGAACCUUUACUAUAGCUUGACACUGAACAUUGAGCCUUGAUGUGUAGGAUAGGUGGGAGGCUUAGAAGUGUGGACGCCAGUCUGCAUGGAGCCGACCUUGAAAUACCACCCUUUAAUGUUUGAUGUUCUAACGUUGACCCGUAAUCCGGGUUGCGGACAGUGUCUGGUGGGUAGUUUGACUGGGGCGGUCUCCUCCUAAAGAGUAACGGAGGAGCACGAAGGUUGGCUAAUCCUGGUCGGACAUCAGGAGGUUAGUGCAAUGGCAUAAGCCAGCUUGACUGCGAGCGUGACGGCGCGAGCAGGUGCGAAAGCAGGUCAUAGUGAUCCGGUGGUUCUGAAUGGAAGGGCCAUCGCUCAACGGAUAAAAGGUACUCCGGGGAUAACAGGCUGAUACCGCCCAAGAGUUCAUAUCGACGGCGGUGUUUGGCACCUCGAUGUCGGCUCAUCACAUCCUGGGGCUGAAGUAGGUCCCAAGGGUAUGGCUGUUCGCCAUUUAAAGUGGUACGCGAGCUGGGUUUAGAACGUCGUGAGACAGUUCGGUCCCUAUCUGCCGUGGGCGCUGGAGAACUGAGGGGGGC